UACGUAGGGGGCGAGCGUUGUCCGGAAUCAUUGGGCGUAAAGCGCGUGUAGGCGGCCCGGUAAGUCCGCUGUGAAAGUCCAGGGCUCAACCCUGGGAUGCCGGUGGAUACUGUCGGGCUCGAGUCCGGAAGAGGCGAGUGGAAUUCCUGGUGUAGCGAUGAAAUGCGCAGAUAUCAGGAAGAACACCAAUGGCGAAAGCAGCUCUCUGGGACGGUACUGACGCUGAGACGCGAAAGCGUGGGGAGCGAACAGG
rnacentral:rRNA from 1 species